GACGAACGCUGGCGGCGUGCUUAACACAUGCAAGUCGAACGGAAAGGCCCCUUUGGGGGUACUCGAGUGGCGAACGGGUGAGUAACACGUGAGUAACCUGCCCUUGACUUCGGGAUAACUUCAGGAAACUGGGGCUAAUACCGGAUAGGAAUCCUUGCUGCAUGGUGGGGGUUGGAAAGCUUCGGCGGUUUUGGAUGGACUCGCGGCUUAUCAGCUUGUUGGUGGGGUAGUGGCUUACCAAGGCUUUGACGGGUAGCCGGCCUGAGAGGGCGACCGGCCACAUUGGGACUGGGAUACGGCCCAGACUCCUACGGGGGGCAGCAGGGGGGAAUAAUGCACAAUGGGCGGGAGCCUGAUGCAGCAACGCCGCGGGCGGGAUGACGGCCUUCGGGUUGGAAACCGCUUUCAGCAGGGGCGAAGCUUGUGGUGACGGUACCUGCAGAAGAAGCACCGGCUAACUACGUG
rnacentral:rRNA from 1 species